GAUGAACGCUGGCGGCGUGCCUAAUACAUGCAAGUCGAGCGAACAGAUAAGGAGCUUGCUCCUUUGACGUUAGCGGCGGACGGGUGAGUAACACGUGGGUAACCUACCUAUAAGACUGGGAUAACUUCGGGAAACCGGAGCUAAUACCGGAUAACAUUUGGAACCGCAUGGUUCUAAAGUGAAAGAUGGUUUUGCUAUCACUUAUAGAUGGACCCGCGCCGUAUUAGCUAGUUGGUAAGGUAACGGCUUACCAAGGCAACGAUACGUAGCCGACCUGAGAGGGUGAUCGGCCACACUGGAACUGAGACACGGUCCAGACUCCUACGGGAGGCAGCAGUAGGGAAUCUUCCGCAAUGGGCGAAAGCCUGACGGAGCAACGCCGCGUGAGUGAUGAAGGGUUUCGGCUCGUAAAACUCUGUUAUUAGGGAAGAACAAAUGUGUAAGUGACUGUGCACGUCUUGACGGUACCUAAUCAGAAAGCCACGGCUAACUACGUG
rnacentral:rRNA from 1 species